rnacentral:rRNA from 1 species
UACGGAGGGUGCAAGCGUUGUUCGGAAUUACUGGGCGUAAAGAGUGCGUAGGCGGUUCGGCAAGUUGGAAGUGAAAUCCCGGGGCUCAACCUCGGAAUUGCUUUCAAAACUGCUGAUCUAGAGUAUGGUAGGGGAUAGUGGAAUUCCUAGUGUAGGGGUGAAAUCCGUAGAUAUUAGGAGGAACACCAGAGGCGAAGGCGACUAUCUGGGCCAUUACUGACGCUAAGGUACGAAAGCGUGGGGAGCAAACAGG